AAAUAUGGACUUUCCGUGUAAUAUUGGAGGCUUAUUAAAAAGCACUGCAAUAUAGCGUAGUUACAGCUAAAAAGACCGAGCCACUUAAAUAUUUUAUUCUGUGAAAUAUUUCAAAACUCCCACGACUCCCACUGUACUUCUGCAAACCCCUAACCUAUCGCAACUGAAAAUAUGAAAUUGCCACAAUUGUGCGCUCAAUCUCUCUAAUCUCUCUGAAUAUCAUUCUCAAAUUUUUACUUGAAGAAUCCUUAACAUUGAAUCCGUUUCCUUUUUGCUGAAUUUUCCCUUUUAAUUUGCUCAAUUCGUCAAUUCUAUUUGAGAAUUUCAAUCGACCCAUACAAAUUCGAAUUUCCCAUUCUAAGGUCUAAUUUCAUUAUUCUCGAAAAAAUUCUUGUCAAAAAGAAAGAGAUUCAGAAAAGAGGCUAAUUUCAGGGUGUUGAAGCUUCGCCUAGGGCUAACGACAAUGACACUUAUCGUAGAGAUUAGUUAUUACGUUACUAAGAUCUUUAAUUGAAGGUUAUGCUUUGGCAACUUCAAAGUUGGAACAUGAAGGCAAUUUUAAAGCACCAAUAUUUUGUCUUAUAAAAUAUAACUUAUAUUUGCAUAGUUUUGGUUUAGGAAUAAAUUACAUUCUAGCUAUUGAACGUUUGGUUUUUUUAUGUAGGAAUUUAGAUGGUUAUUUGUUUAAAUGAUUUUAGGUACUUUAUUUCAAUGUUUCUUGUUUGAUGACAUUUGUGACUAUAAUUUAUUUUUAAUUAAAUUUUUAGUGUUUGCAAUUUUAUUAUGUAAAAAACAAGUUAGCAACGCUCUAAAUGUGCUAUAAAUGCUAUUACAGAA